UUACGGCCAUAUCAUGUUAAACACCGGUUCUCGUAAGAUCAACGAAGUUAAGCAACGUCGAGCCUGGACAGUACCUAGAUAGGUGACAACUUGGGAAUACAAAGUGUUGUAAG